GGUGAAGAAAAUCCUGCAUGUUUUUAAUUCAUAUGUUGUUCAGCUGGACGCGCUCACAUGCACAUGACUCCUCUUCACAUCCUGUCAUUUGCAAUAACCAGCCAGUUUGAUGCUGCAUUAAAGGGAUAUUGAGUCACUUUGUUUGGGGGGAAUUUGUAUCGAUGAUAUUUGGGUGACUGAGACUAGAAAAAACACAGUUAGUUGUUGAAAUAAUGAAUGAUUGAGCAACAGCCUGUGGCUUUAAUAAUCAGCUGAUAGCAGGUUGGAUCGUUGCUGUUUCUCCUUUAACUGGACAAACAUCAACAGUCUAAUCAGGCUGAGACAACAAAUAAUGGUGAACAAUUAUUUUAGGCCACUUAUUGUGAAAAAGUGAUUUCUUCAGAAUAUGCUUGAGCUUUUAUUGUUUUUCUACUUGUAGACCAAAGAUGCUGUUGCCAUGACGCCUGCUGUCCUGCCAUGUCUCUCAGUUGUCCUCCAGGACGAUGACAGACUUCUACAAUGAUCCAGAUGCCAUGGCGACUUCAUCCUGGUUCCUGUGGGGUUACUGACUGUUAUGUUAAGUUUAUCAUUUUGUUCAAAUUAAAUGUUGAAUCUUGUGAACUUAAA